CACAAGCUUGCCCUCCCAUGUUGGCUUGUAUUGGUUGGCUGUGUUAAAUGUGAGAAAAGGGGAGUGGCUUCUCUCCUGAAAAUGAAGGCCAGAUAGAGACAUUUCAGAAACCAGGCACAGCCCCCAGAGCUGGCAGACACCUGUGUGACACUGACAUGGGCCCUCAGCUCCUGGGCUGUGUCAUGCUUUGUCUCCUGGGAUCAGGUUCCACAGAAGCUGAAGUGACCCAGACCCCAAGACACCGCAUCACAAAGACCAAAAAGAAUUUGACAUUGACUUGUUCUCAGAAUAUGAACCAUGACGCAAUGUACUGGUAUCGACAAGACCCACGGCUGGGUCUAAAGCUGAUCUAUUAUUCAAUUAAUGUUGGUUAUUUUGAAAAGGGAGAGGUUUCUGAUGGGUACAAUGUGUCUCGAAAAGAGAAGAGGAAUUUCCCACUGACCCUGGAGUCAGCCAGCAUCAGCCAGACCUCUCUGUAUCUCUGUGCCAGCAGUCUAACCACAGCACUACAUGGCCAGCUGCUCUCCACACAAAAAAGGCAGCCACAGAGUAAGGAGGCUCCUCCCUCAGGAGGCCCCACCCAACCAGGAGGGAAACCUUCCACCAUCAGUGCCCAUAGUGCCUCCCAAGCCCCCAGCUUCUGGGCCUCUGAGGGAUGCAGACUCUCUGCAAUGUGUCCUGCUCUCACUUGCUAUACCAAUGUAGCUAGGGCUACAGUUCUUCUCAGCUCCCUCUACGAUGUGGUGUUUGCAUACCUGCCAACUAUCCUAACGUGA